UUGCCAUGAUGGUUCUAUUUUUCGUCAACAGCAUCUCACGUAGUGAAUGGUGACUCGUAUCAGAUCUGAGCAA